rnacentral:lncRNA from 1 species
AUCAUCAUCUUGCUUAGGCUUCCAGAGCCAUUACCGUCAUCUUGUUUAGGCUUCCAGAGCCAUUAUCAUCAUCUUGCUUAGGCUUCCAGAGCCAUUACCGUCAUCUUGUUUAGGCUUCCAGAGCCAUUAUCAUCAUCUUGCUUAGGCUUCCAGAGUCAUUACUAUCAUCUUGUUUAGGCUUCCAGAGCCAUUAUCAUCAUCUUGCUUAGGCUUCCAGAGUCAUUACUAUCAUCUUGUUUAGGCUUCCAGAG